AGCUUCCCUGGUAGUGAUGCAGCCUGUUUGUUGUAUGGGUUGCUCUAAGGGACCUUGGAGACAGUC
rnacentral:snoRNA from 1 species